GACCGGACUUCGCCCUAGGGCCCGGGCAUCACACGCAGCUGAGCCCACAGAGGCCCCGCGAGCGGGCGCCGCGUGGCGGAGUGAGCUGAAGCUGCAGCCUGGGACCCGAUCGAUCGUGAGGAAAGACGCGGCCACACUGUCCCGAGGCAAUGAGGACCGAGGUUUGCAAGCCACUUGUCAGAACAAAGCACUUAAGAAAUUUUACUGUUAUCGUGGCCCCCUUUACUACUCGGACUCCCUUGCCUUUCGAUCUCAGAAUCACCACUAGCUCCCUUCGGAUUAAGCAAGAAUUGAUUAAGCGGGGCUUUUAGUUGGACACUGAAAGCUGAGAUGCAGAUAGUGAUUCUGGAAGAGGGUCAGUAAUGCGCCCAAACGUGCCCAUCCUGGAACCCUUGGUCUACACAGGACCCACUAGGCACACCUACAGCGUACCAAGCUCGGUAGCUCACCUCAGGGCAGCCCCUCACAACCUAGUACACAUCAGGAUUACCUGAGGAGUUCCUGAAGCUGCAGACUGAGUGAAGGGAUACAGGAAUAGCAGUCUGGCCAAGCUCUCCAGAUGACUUUAAUACAAGUGGUCCACUGACCCCACAAUAAGAAACAUGCUCUUGAAAAAAGUUUCAAACUCCAGGCAUAUAAUCUGCGAUCCGGCCAAAGAGCAGCCGUCCGACUCCUGAAGUGAUGCCAAUGCACAUGAGAACCACCUCUUUAUUUUUUCCGUCUUGAAAUCUUUCAUUCACAUAUUUCAUCUGUGGACCAUCAAGAAAGAAGCAACACUAAAUGCGGAGGACCUGAACCAAACUGACACUCCUGAAACAGCUGGAGUGGAGCUUCCAGGAUAAAGCAGAAGUACAUAAAUAUCUUAUUUAAAAGUCACACUCUUCAGAGGAGCCAGGCUCAAGCCCUGGCCAUACCAGCUACCAGCCUUGCAUGAUUGCCUAUCUCACAGUGUGGCCCUGAGACUCCAGUGAAAGAUAACGUUUGUGGGAACUUCUUGUAUGUCAAACGUCAAUAAAAAGGUGGGAAAUCAGUAAAUGUUGCAUUUGUUUAAGAAACUGGUGGUUUUAAGCAAAUCCUUCCAUGGCUGUGAGGACUGGACACGCUGAAUCCUAAACCACAUGCUCGGGAGCUCUGGACGCGGCAGCUGUUCCUGCCGUGUUACUCCAAGAAUGAAUCUGUUCAAUUAGACAUGGGUGCAGACACAGCUGGCCUGCAGACCUGCACACCAGCUGUCCAUGUUUGCAGUUCUGCCUCCACAUGGCAGGCACUGCCUACCAGUAAAUGGGCUUUUCUCCAGUUUGUUACAAAGGAAUAUAAACUUCCUGAUUAUGAGUGAGCUGUAAAAAACUAGAUACAGAUAACGGGGACAGAAAGCAGGAAAAGCAAAGGGGAAAUGGACAGUGGCAUGGGCAGUCUGGGGUCUAAUACAUAAGAGAUGUGCAUCCCUCAAACUGGCUUUGGGCACUAAAGACUCUUCCCUUCAGGACAAAUAUAUAACUAAGGCCUAUUCUGCUCUGUAAUCCUGGAGUUAGUGUCUACAAUGGCUUCUCCAAAAGAGAUGCUCCAGAAUUUGGAGAUAAGGAUAAAUUAGCAGAAAUGUACUCUCAAUGGAUCAGACAACUCUGUCCACCUGCCAGAAUCACCCAGUAAAUAUGGGGUAAAGCCAAUGUCCAAGUAUAGCCUCACAAAGGGAAGAUUCUUCAAAUAAUAUUUUUAUUUCUAUUCAUCUUCUAAUUGAUAUAAAAACCACAAUAGGACCCUCACCAGCUAAUUUAGGUCCUUCAAACUUCAACAAACUUUAAUUUGAUACCAAUCCAAACAAUUGAGGGAUAAGCAAAUAUCCACAUAAUGGUUAAAUUUUGAAAUUAUUCAAAAUUAUAUUUUAACAAAUAAAACCUGAGAUACUUAAAAACAAAACAAAAACCCUGGUGACACUAGACAUUAACAAGAGAGAGGGAACAGCUUUCCAACACCAGGACUCUUUAGGGCCUUCUCAGGACACUAAUGAUCAGUGAUGGACGGAUACUUUAUAACUCUAAAAUAUAAGCAAUUUACUUUUUUUCCAUUUUCCUGUAAUAGUACUUAUGUUAACCAAAAGAGGCUGGAUCUUGUAAAUUUUUACAUUUGUCCAUUUUUUUCUUCUGCCAUGCUUAAUGUUUAUUGUAGAACUCAAAACCUAAUGCAAAACUGUGCAUAUUCCCUAUUCUGCUUGUCACAGGUUGUGAAAAGCGAUUCAGUUUUCUCAUAUUGACAAUGUAGUAGAGAUGAGAAGAGUUGACGUACGGCUGGAAAUACGGUUACAUGACACCCUCUCCUUUACAUCACAUCAGAACAGAAGCCUGUUUCCUCCACGGUCCUGUCCAUGGCUGCACAGCAGGCUCUGAGAGCUGCACUGGCCCAGCAACGCCUCUGUUCUUAGUUCUGAGAAUGGAAGGGAAACUUCCAAGGCAAAGGAAACUUGGCCUGAUAACAGGCAGCACUCCAUCUGUGGGGUGACUUGAUGAAGGGACAGCAGACUCUUUCAUAAAAAGAACAUGAGACUUAGACUCCAACACUUGUGUUCAAAUCCCAGCUCUGAGCAUAACUCAGUGAGUGACGUUGAACUCAGCACAGUCAUUUCCUUAGCCCUAACUUUGAUACACUUGAUACACUCAUCCUUGUGAUGGUUAUGUGAGAUUUUGUGAAAAUGCCUGAUACAUUAUGGAUUCUCCCUGAAUCUCCCUCUGAGGAAGCCUCAAACUGAUGAAAGCAUGUAUGCUGUUCUUGUUUGCAUGGCUCAGCACCCUGAGGUCUGGUUUACAGAAUUCCUGCUUUCACAAUAUGAAGAGAAGGGCCCUGGCCAGUGAGGUCUAACAGUGACAUUUCUGUAUUGGCCCAUGAGAACAUCUGGCAUUAAUCAAAGCUAUAAAAUGUCUCUUGAGGUACUAUAUGCCCUGUUUAUUGGCAUAUUGGUCUUAAAAUUUCACUCCUAGUUUAAAAAUAUAAAUUGUUUGUCCCCAAUUAC